GGCGGCGAUGGCAACAGCGACCGCCCUGAGGAAAGUCCGGGCUUCUCAGAGGCAUGGCAACUGCUAACGGCAGCCGGGGGUGACCCCAGGGAAAGUGCAACAGAAAGAAACCGCCGCCCAUUGAGGCGGUAAGGAUGGAAAGGCGAGGUAAGAGCUCACCAGCGCACUGGCGACUUUGCGGCUAUGUAAACCCUGUCAGAAGCAACAUCCGUAUGGGACAUAUGUGGAAGCCUCGCACGUCCCGGAGAUGGCAUGCGCUGCGGACCCCUGCGGCCCGCGCGCGGAGCCUUGCGGCAACGCAAGGUCAAGAUAGAUCGUCGUUUAGUACAGAACCCGGCUUACGGUCCAGUC
rnacentral:RNase_P_RNA from 1 species